rnacentral:tRNA from 1 species
CACUAAGAAGCUAAUAAAUAGGGAAAUAGCAUUAGCCUUUUAAGCUGAAGAUAGGUGACUCCCGACCACCCCUAGUGA